GACGAACGCUGGCGGCGUGCUUAACACAUGCAAGUCGAACGGAAAGGCCCUGCUUUUGUGGGGUGCUCGAGUGGCGAACGGGUGAGUAACACGUGAGUAACCUGCCCUUGACUUUGGGAUAACUUCAGGAAACUGGGGCUAAUACCGGAUAGGAGCUCCUGCUGCAUGGUGGGGGUUGGAAAGUUUCGGCGGUUGGGGAUGGCCUCGCGGCUUAUCAGCUUGUUGGUGGGGUAGUGGAUUACCAAGGCUUUGACGGGUAGCCGGCCUGAGCGGGUGACCGGCCCCAUUGGGACUGAGAUACGGCCCAGACUCGUACGGGAGGCAGCAGUGGGGAAUAUUGCACAAUGGGCGGAAGCCUGAUGCAGAAACGCCGCGUGCGGGAUGACGGCCUUCGGGUUGUAAACCGCUUUCGCCUGUGACGAAGCGUGAGUGACGGUAAUGGGUAAAGAAGCACCGGCUAACUACGUG
rnacentral:rRNA from 1 species